AGCCAGCAGGAAAUUUCUCUUCUUUCACCGUCACAAAAGCAUCGUAAUCAUCAUCAGCAUCGACCUCAGGAUACAAUUCUUGAUCAUCAUCAUCCAUAAGCUCACGAAGAUGACCAUCUUCUGAAGUAAGAUCAACGAUCUUGCUUAAUUCUGUCUGUUAGUAAAUCAGGCUCGAUCGGGUGGAAAUUGGUAGUGAGAAAAAACGAGUAGAAUUAAUGAGGCGGAAAAUAAUUUGUGUGUAACUGUAAAUCCUGAAGUAAAAUCUAACAUCACUUUCUUCCUACGAAAUCAUCUCGACGUUAUCAAGUAAAAUCUUCUUUUUUUUACAUUUUU
rnacentral:lncRNA from 1 species